GAUGAACGCUGGCGGCGUGCCUAAUACAUGCAAGUCGAGCGGACGGACGAGAAGCUUGCUUCUCUGAUGUUAGCGGCGGACGGGUGAGUAACACGUGGAUAACCUACCUAUAAGACUGGGAUAACUUCGGGAAACCGUAGCUAAUACCGGAUAAUAUUUUGAACCGCAUGGUUCAAAAGUGAAAGACGGUCUUGCUGUCACUUAUAGAUGGAUCCGCGCUGCAUUAGCUAGUUGGUAAGGUAACGGCUUACCAAGGCAACGAUGCAUAGCCGACCUGAGAGGGUGAUCGGCCACACUGGAACUGAGACACGGUCCAGACUCCUACGGGAGGCAGUAGUAGGGAAUCUUCCGCAAUGGGCGAAAGCCUGACGGAGCAACGCCGCGUGAGUGAUGAAGGUCUUCGGAUCGUAAAACUCUGUUAUUAGGGAAGAACAUAUGUGUAAGUAACUGUGCACAUCUUGACGGUACCUAAUCAGAAAGCCACGGCUAACUACGUG
rnacentral:rRNA from 1 species